UCCGGCCAGCUAAGGUGGUUGUGUGUAUUGCUGUUCUGAACCGUGCUGUGUGUCGCUCUUAGUAGGGUUCAAAUCAAUCCCGUAAAGUAAGAUAAGUCUAAGAAGUAACACUCAUUGACCAAUCCAAGGUCAUUAAAAUAAUCUAAAUGUUGAAAGGAAAAGUUUAUGUUAAGUUUCUCAAGACAAUAUAUCCGUAAAAACUACUUAGUGAAGAAAGUUAGUUGCUGGUAAGGUUGAGAAGUGUCGGACAGACUGAUCGAGUGAUGUAAAAAAUAUUGGAUAAAAACUAAACAAACAUUAAUUUUAAGUUUGUAUAUAGAUAAUAAUAACAAUGUCACACCACUCACUGAAGACUUUAAUUGAUGGUGAUUGAUCUCGUUAUUAUUGACUUUAAGGAGACACCAAGCAGAUAAUACAGAUUGUGUCCUGGUCUACAGUGACACGAUAGCGUUCCUACAGUGACACGAUAGCGUUCCUACAGUGACACGAUAGCGUUCCUACAGUGACACGAUAGCGUUCCUACAGUGAGACGAUAGCGCUCUUUCAGUGACACGUAUCAACAAACUUUCUACAGUGAGAUGUCAGAUUUGCUGCAGUGACGUGUAGUGAAUGAAGUACUACUGUGACAAUGCUACAGUGAAUGAACUACAGUGGCAACGCUAUAGUGAAUGAGCUACAGUGACAAAUACACAGUGAACUAAGUCAAGUCAAAUUUUUUUUAUUGUAUAUGAAUCUUAAUUUGCAAAGUCUCUGUAAAAUGACCUGACCUUUUUUGACCUGAUAACAGUGGUGAACGACCGAGUGAUUCUUGGAUACAACUACUUGGGGUGGUUUAUGUACGACUCAUUGGACGACCUCUGAGAUAAGAACUAUUGGCAACCCUUAAGACGACCACGAUUGAAAUCUCUGAAACGACUCAAUAAAGCCUUACGAGACGACCUUAAAAACACCAAUCAAACCCUGCGAAAACGACCCUCAAACGACCUUCAUCUAUAAAGUCGUCGCCGUCGUUCCUGCUAGUGACAUUCUGACCCUACCACGACUAUGUCAGGUCAAAGGUCACUACACUGUAUCUUUCUCCUCCUGGCGAUCAUCACAGAUACCGUGGUGGACAGUAAAGUGAGGAUCGACCCGAGGAGGAAUGACGUGGAGGAACCCUUAUCCAUUCCAGAGGCAUCCCCGUCACCAGAUCCGGGGCCACACUUUGCCCCGGAUUCGCCCCAUCAAGUGGUAGCGGCAGUAGGCACCCCGGCACACAUCCCCUGUAAACCCCGGAGUCUCGGGUCCA